UUUUACGGUUGGAAACAUCUGCAGCUCACUGUUGGUUUUAAGUGGGUGAUCAAGGUCUGCACCAUGAGCUUUGAAAGCAAUCAAGCGUCAGACCCCACAAGUGUCACUCAGCAUGGAAACUCCAAAUAGAGACAGCAAAGAGGAUUUUUGGAUACUAGAUAAGGACUUUUGACCAAUAAUCUUUAGCGAACAGUCUGGUGGAAUUCAUACUUUUUCUCUCCACUAUCUUUACCAUGAGCAAAGCAAAGCAACUUGGGAUAUAGUGUGAUGUGAUCAAUAUUGUGGCACGUUUCGAAUUCUCCAUGGGUGGUUUCAUAUAUCAAUUCAAGCUUAAAUGAUCACCAAAAUCUGGC